CCAUCUGUAAAGCCAUCAUAGCAGCUAGCACUACUGCCUUAAACAAAUCUCGACAGAGCACAGAUUAAGGAUCACACACGAUUCUCAUAUCAAGACAUGUCCGGAGCCUCAACAAACACGGGAAGUAAUGGUGAGCCUCUCUAUCAAAAUGCUCCACUGAUUAUUUGUCACACCUAAUGUAUAACGUGUUGGACGUACAUGCGUGCAGGGUUACAUCACCCCGUGCCUCCCCAGGGAGGAUCACAAACCCGUCCCGAGUACAUUCCCCGACCUCAUGGAGAAAACGCUCCCUCUUCUGGUUAGUAUGCGUUAGGCAUGAGCCUUAUUUACUGUACCAUAUAUAGUUCAAAGACUUCGACUUUGAUUUCGCAUACUGUUUACAACGGAAAGCAAAGCUUCCAGUGGUUCGAGCUGAGUCUCAACACUGCAUGUGCGAUAUGCUACGGCAUGCAUGGAUGUCUAGAGUGUUUCCAUUUCUUUUGAAUAUUUUUUCCUGCUGCCUUUUUUCGUGGGUCCUAAGACUCUAGCAAACUUUCUUCCUCUGUUUUACCUUUUCGAUACCUCCAAAAGGUCUCCAUUUUAUAUCAUCCUGAAAAGGUUCGGAGGUACUACUGUUUUGUAUAUGAAGUACCUAAGUACCAAAUACUUAACUAUAAUUUUGUACGGCGCUCCUGGUACGUAAGGGUCCAAAAUGAGCUGUCUUUAUUUUUUUUCUCCAAAAGAUCUUCUUUUUUAUUUUUUUCCUGGUAUCUUCUUUUUCUCCAAAAUUUUGUACCUCUUUGUACCUUUUAAGGGUCCAAAAUGAUCUCUCUUUAUUCUUUUUCCUCCUUGUUUGAUCCAUUCUUUUACCUUUCACCUCUACAUGCACCAAAUCUUGUUCUGAUAAACUAUCUCCACCCCUUUUCUUUGUCACUUGUACGCAAAAAAGUAUAUUUUCUUUCUCUAAACGCUAGCGGUUCUGAGGCCUCACUUGACGUAAUACCCUAAAUUUUGUUGGGAUUCUUGUUCACGCAUGCAGCCCCAGGAUAUAACGGCAUCAUAAAUCAUGUGCCAACUACUGGUACAACAGGGCACUAUCAAGCGCCUUACAAUAAUCAAGUUCAAGCAGGUCAGAAUGGAAGCACAAACAGAAACAUACAAGGUACAUACUAUUCGGUUCCUAGCUAGUACUUGCAGCCAUUUUAUAAUUUUUCUAAGAUAUCAUGUGUUCAUUUGCAUUUUGGCCUAGCCUGAUCAGAAACACUAACGUUUCAAGGUUUUUUUAGCAGCUGGCGGUAUGUCUUCUACUGUGCCUGCGAUGGGUAGACGUUAAAUUAAAAUAUGUGAAGAAGAAGAUUUGUGUGUUUGUAAAUAUAUUAUGGUCGACUCAUAUGGUAGAAAGAAGAAAUAAAUUGUAUUUUCCUUGUUUAAAUUAUAGGUUUGAUGCAUUGGUUUUAUUUACAAUCAGGUCCCUGAAAUAAUGUAAACAUCCCUAUACAUUGAUUUGUACAUUGGAGCUUGUAACAGUUUUUUAUCAUAACUGUAUGAUUUCAUUUUCGACUCUUAUAUCACGAUUAAAAAGUCUUUUCAACAUUCAAA
rnacentral:lncRNA from 1 species